GACAGGAUGAUCCGCCACACUGGGACUGAGACACGGCCCAGACUCCUACGGGAGGCAGCAGUGGGGAAUUUUGGACAAUGGGCGUAAGCCUGAUCCAGCCAUGCCGCGUGUCUGAAGAAGGCCUUCGGGUUGUAAAGGACUUUUGUCCGGGAGCAAAUCCCAGUGGUUAAUACCUACUGGGGCUGAGAGUACCGGAAGAAUAAGCACCGGCUAACUACGUGCCAGCAGCCGCGGUAAUACGUAGGGUGCAAGCGUUAAUCGGAAUUACUGGGCGUAAAGCGUGCGCAGGCGGUUGUGCAAGUCUGAUGUGAAAGCCCCGGGCUUAACCUGGGAACGGCAUUGGAGACUGCACGA
rnacentral:rRNA from 2 species